UACGGGGGGAGCAAGCGUUGUUCGGAUUUACUGGGCGUAAAGGGCGCGUAGGCGGCCAGCACAAGUCAGUUGUGAAAUCUCCGAGCUUAACUCGGAAAGGUCAACUGAUACUGUGCGGCUAGAGUGCAGAAGGGGCAACUGGAAUUCUUGGUGUAGCGGUGAAAUGCGUAGAUAUCAAGAGGAACACCUGCGGCGAAGGCGGGUUGCUGGGCUGACACGUGACGCUGGAGGCGCGAAAGCUAGGGGAGCGAACGGG
rnacentral:rRNA from 1 species